UUAAAAUAUUUACACAGAAAGCCUUCAUUAAACAGUUAAAACCCAAAUGAAUGCACAAUGCACAAUGAUGAAUGUAAACUUUAAAUAUAAAUUUAUCGCGUGAUGUGUCAAGUCUAAUUUUUCCGCAUUGUAUAUGUUGUUACGUAAAGAGAAAAGGAUAUUACUAUGCAGACAUGUUGAUUAGAGGUUGAUGGACACGUUGAAGAAUACUUAUCCUUGAUUGUACAAAGAUAAAACUAUGAGUGGAGCAGAAAAUGCGAAGAGAAAGCUACUUUUCAUUUCUAAAUUCAUUUCCCCGUCAAAUGCAGAAAUCGAUAUCCAUGGGAUAUGUGUAGCAGACGACAACUCCGUGCUUGUUAGUGAUGUGAACAAUAAACGCUUAUUGAGGUAUAACGAGUCAGGAGAAUUUCAGAAUAGUUGCCAUUUUAGUAUGAUUCCAAGAGAUAUUACCGUUAUACCAGGGAAGAACCAAGUCGCAGUCACCCUUCAGGAAUCCAGGUUUAGUUGUAAACCAGGAUUUAUCGCUAUAUUGGACAGUGAACAAUUAAACUUAAUCAGCCAAAAUGAAAUCAAAUGUACGCCAUUCGGAAUAGAUUGGUAUGAAAAUUUACUUGCCGUCGGCAGUUGGAAUACCGUCCAGUUUUAUGAUUUGAAUUUUUCUUUUGUAAGGAGUAUAGAAUUGCCAGAAGAUAAAAUAGCUGUAAAAUUUAUUAAAAGAGGACCAGACGGAACUUUGUUUUAUUCAACGUCGACCGCCAACUGUAUAUCCAGUGAUGGAAUCAAUAUUUUUAAAUUUUCUGUUGAGAAUGGAAUCCCUAAAGGCCUAUGUGUAGAUAAAGAUAAAAUGUUGUACAUUUCUUGUUGUAGCAGUACAAUUUUAGGUAUAUCAGAUAAAGGUCACCUCAUCGGUACUUUACUCAAAGGGGAUCAAGGAUUAGGUCAAUUAGGUUCCCUGUGUUUCAACAAAGAUUAUACCAAACUUUACGUUGCGAGUGAUGAUGGAUCAUCCCUGUCAGUUUUGGAUUUUUUAAAAGAAUAAAUCCUGAAAAAAUGAUAAGGGAAGUUUUUAAGAAUAUUAUUGUUCAUUUUCUAUUACCAAAAGGAAUUUUUAGGAAGAAUAAUAAGAGAUGACACGAAAAAAUGGUGAACCAGUCUUAUGCAUGUUAUGACGAUGUACAGUACAAACUAUACAAUCGAGACCAAAUAGUCAAAAGAUCUUCAUAUAGCUCACUAAUUAAUAUCCAAGAACAGUCAUAUGCAGAAACCAAUAGAAUAUUUGUAAACAACAGCGUGAAAGUAGGACUGACGUAAAUACACACACAAUAGAUUUUAUUGUAAAGCCGAUAAUGGAAUUUUCUAACUGUAUGGGAAACUGUCAAUUUAUUUGAGUAUAUUCUAUAGGAUGCAUGCUUUAUUGUCGGGUCGCUGAUGGAGUUUGUACACAUCUAUUUGUUUAUGAACAGUUAAUUAGUGUUUCUUCGGAUGAAUAACAAAAUAUGUGGCUAUAGACAGAAAAAUAUCUCUUCCUUGAAUUUAAUAUCCAGUUAAUUAAUUAUGCAUACACUAAUUAAAGUAUCUUUCAGACAU